AAAAUAAAAACCCUAACGUAACCUCCUUUUCCCCAACACACGCAGUAGCAGACGUAGAAAGAGAGAGCAGAAAAGGGGAGAAGAGAGAUCGGGAAGGGAAAGAGAGAGACCUCGCCCAGCCGCCGUCCAGCUCGCUGCCAUCGUCGCGUCUCACUGCCGUGGAGCCCGUCAUAAGCGUCGUCGCUGAUCUGCCUUGGAGCCACUGUCCUACGCAUCCCCGACGAAGAGCAGAGAGAGAGAAGACGCGAUGGAGGAGAGGACGCCGCGAGCUUUGUCGCGCCUGGUCACUGUCGAGCUCGCCGUCGAAGAUGCCACCAGCGUCACUGUCGAACCCUAGCAAUUGCAGCCACGCCCGUGCCAGUCACCGUCGAUGCUGUAGCAGAGGAAGAAGGAUGCACGAACAGAAGAGGGAGAAGGAAGCUACCAGGCCGUCGCCGUUUCUGCUCGGUUUUGCCGCCGCCGAUUGGUUUCACUGCUGUUGAAGAAGAGGACGCGUCCGAGAGAGAGAGAACCAGGAGGAGUGACGCGCGAAGGAGGCUGAGACGGAGAAGGAGGACACACUGUCUCAUCGCCGCCGCUGCCGUUGUUUCCAUCACCGUCAUGCUUCGUAGUCACCCUGCCAAUCAUUAUUGACUCUGUUCGGUAUCCCCAUCCCUGCCCGGAACUACUGAUGUUGCUGUUAUCCCGGUUAAUGCUACCGCUACUGUUCUGGUUGUAUUACUACGACAGUAAGGUUGGGGAUUUAUUUCAAAAUUGACCGUUUUAAUUUAUGAAUGCCAAUGAAGUUUAGUGAGUAACUACAAAUAAUUUAUAAAUAUUUUGUGUCAUUGAUUGAUAGAAAUAAGCUUGGUUUGAGGUUGUGAAAAUUGGAUUAUGUUUGGUAUUGAAAUGAUGUUCUAGUGUUUCAAUUACUUUAUUGAGUUUAGGUUAUGAUUGUGAAUGUAACUGGUUCUGUUGUGAGUGAUUAAUUAACAAGAUUAAAUUUGGUUUGAGGCUGCGACUUGUAUUGGUUUUUUGAUUUUGAUGGAAUUGCUGAAAAUUCUGGUUUUAAGUGACUAUGCUGAAUUGGUUGAGUUGUGACUAUAUUCUGAUUAUUGAGAAUGAGUGCUUGCCGUUGAUUUUAUUUGAUUAUGCUGAAUUGGUUGCCAUAGGCUGGUUUGCUUGAUGGUUGCGAAUGGACUGAAAUUCUGAUCUUUGAUGGAUUUAUAUUGAAUUGGUUGUUGAUGAGCUGGUUAUUCGAUAUGUUGUAACGGUAGUGGACUUGGUUGGUGACUGGUUGAAAACUGGUUUUGGGAAAUUAGUUAUGAAUUUUUUAAGUUAGACUGGUUUAAUUUUAAAGAAUGAUCGGGUGAAAUUCUGAUUUUAAUUGAUGAAAGGAUGUUAGUUUGUUAAACUGAAUUAUGAUGAGAUGAUUAUUGAGAAUCUGUUGUGAUAAUUGCUGAUAAAAGGAUGGUGAAUUGUUGAGAAAGAGGGAACCCGUAAGGAUGGCUAAGUCCGACUUUUAGGAGAGGUGCUGUUGAAAUUUUAUAAAAUUUGAGGUUUCAUUUGAAAAGU